UACGUAGGGUGCAAGCGUUAAUCGGAAUUACUGGGCGUAAAGCGUGCGCAGGCGGUUUUGUAAGUCAGAGGUGAAAUCCCCGGGCUCAACCUGGGAACUGCCUUUGUGACUGCAAGGCUUGAGUGCGGCAGAGGGGGAUGGAAUUCCGCGUGUAGCAGUGAAAUGCGUAGAUAUGCGGAGGAACACCGAUGGCGAAGGCAAUCCCCUGGGCCUGCACUGACGCUCAUGCACGAAAGCGUGGGGAGCAAACCGG
rnacentral:rRNA from 1 species